rnacentral:rRNA from 1 species
GAUGAACGCUGGCGGCGUGCCUAAUACAUGCAAGUAGAACGCUGAAGCUUGGUGCUUGCACCGAGCGGAUGAGUUGCGAACGGGUGAGUAACGCGUAGGUAACCUGCCUCUUAGCGGGGGAUAACUAUUGGAAACGAUAGCUAAUACCGCAUAAAAGUCGACAUCGCAUGAUGUUGACUUGAAAGGUGCAAUUGCAUCACUAAGAGAUGGACCUGCGUUGUAUUAGCUAGUUGGUGAGGUAACGGCUCACCAAGGCGACGAUACAUAGCCGACCUGAGAGGGUGAUCGGCCACACUGGGACUGAGACACGGCCCAGACUCCUACGGGAGGCAGCAGUAGGGAAUCUUCGGCAAUGGGGGCAACCCUGACCGAGCAACGCCGCGUGAGUGAAGAAGGUUUUCGGAUCGUAAAGCUCUGUUGUAAGAGAAGAACGAGGGUGAGAGUGGAAAGUUCACACUGUGACGGUAACUUACCAGAAAGGGACGGCUAACUACGUG